CUCAGUCCAACACCUCGGGGUCAAGUGCUUAAUAUAGGGCUCCUCUUUCCGUUGGGUGGCAAGUUUAGCGAAACUGACCACCUGUUCCCUUGCAAAUCUGCCUGUCUCCAGCCCAAAUCAGAAGGCGAGCCUGGCACGGCCCCUCGGAGGAGGUGCUGCGGCGAUUGGAUUUCACCUCCCACCAGUGCCUGUGAAAUCCAGAUAGAUGUGUUCUGGGACCCUCUCCUCUCCUGAGAAGACUGCAGAUCAAGCUGCUAAACAAGCGGAAGUGAUUCUUGUUGUUUUAAACAUCCUUAGUUGUGUGUGUAUUCUGGAGACUAUUUUUAUAAGUUUAAAGCUCUGCUUUCCUUGCACAUCCGCAGGGCCUCUACUAAAGAAAUGGAAGACAGGAGCGUCUGAGCCUUGCACUCAGGCUCCUGCGGCUCCAUCCAACGCCCCAGGAGGACUCCCUGCUCUGUCUUUGUGAACUGAUCCAAGUCUGAUUACUCGGGAUCUCUCACCCAGUCUGUGGCCGGGGAGAUCUAAAGUACACUCAAGUUGUUUAUUAAACGUCUGCAGCAGUUUUGUGGAUGCAGUUUUUAGAAAGGCUGCACCUCUAAAAUUCCACACACACCUAAUGUAACAUGACGUUUGCAACCUGUGAAUACAGCCUGCCCGUCAAUUUCAAACUCCAGGCAUGUCCACUAGGUUUCUGUUCUGGGCUUUUCCAAACAAUGGCUUAAUCGGAGUCAGCAAUUUGAGGGAGAAAGCCCAUGAAAAUAAGCAAUUCAUGAAAAACCAGUUCCACUCACCGUGCUUAGACACACCCCUUAGACACAGGUCACUCCUGUGGUUUGCCAGUGAGGGCUGGAACCUCACCUCUUCCUUAGACACCUCUGUCCUCUACCUUAGAGAAGUUCCUCUCUCCCUCAACUAUGAUUCUCACCACUCUGUGAAAUGACAGAAUUGAUCAAAUGUCUGUUGUGCAUUGUCUGACACUGCGGCUCAUCAGGAAUUUAUGAGUCAUUUUGACAAGAGGAUAGUGAACCAGUUUAUGACUGGGGCUCACUGCCCGAAUAUCUCCUAAGGGCUGGAUGUCCACACGCCUUCUUCCUCCCACACACGGAGGUUAUUUGCCAUGCGGAUGCCCAGAGACUCAAGAUGGAAAUUCACUUGGCAGACCAUUUGACCGUCGUGGGAACCGGCUUGCACUGCUCAUCCUUUAGGGGAACUUGCUGGGAACAUCCCACAUUGUUUGGAAGACUUGGUAAUCUGUUUCUGUCCACCCUUUCUCCACUCACAGUCUUCCAAUACAAUAAAAUCACUACCCCAAUGGCUCUUGAUUCCUUAACUAGUUACAUUGUGGAGAGAUUUCUAGUAACGUCCAGGAUAAAAAAAAAUGUCUGAAACUGCCAAGAACAAAGCCGAGCCCCAGAAGAGUUUGUCCAAUACUUUCUGAGGCCCUGACCAUGCGGAACUGGGUGGGGGCACUGCCCUCUGAAGUCGCAGUCACAGAAUCCAGGAAGCGGAUGCGAACCUCUCCCUACGUGGUGAGAAUGCUUUACCUUCCCGUAGCUUUAAGUAUCACCGGCAUUCUGCUGGAGCAAUUCUGUCUCUAGCUGAAAUCUAUUGUUGGUGGGAACCAUGCCACAGAGCGUGAUGAUCUGAGCGGCCUGAUGCGUGACUGUGAACUCACUUACUACGUCUUUCCAUGUUGAUAGAGAAAGGAGGUCGUUCAUUCACUUCAGAAGUAGUGAGUGAGCAUGCCUGCCGUCCCGUCACCUAAUGUGUUUUCCACUCCUCCCAGCUGGGCUUUAGAUGCCGGUGUGAUGCAUGUGCUGUUUGCUUACAGAAUUCUGCUUGUAGCAUCCGUUUAGUCAAUAAGUAGAUAUUAAUCACUUAGGCUGUGGGACCAGCUCUGGAAACACAGUGAAGGAAGAGAGAUGCUGUCCUGGCCACCAAGGAGCUAACACUCUGGUGUAGAAAAUGUCACUAAGCAAAUACCGACAUUGGCAAAUCUCUGCAUACGGUCGAUACGGCUGCGUGCAGUGCGUUGCUAUUGGAAGGGAAGGCAGGAAGACUUGAGCCCAGCCUGGAGAGACAGGAACGUCCUCUCUGAGAAAAGGUCGCUUACACUGAAACUCAAAAGGUGAGUCCAGCUUCUCCAGGCAAAGAGAAGUAAGCAGAGCAGCCCACACGAAGAAUACCCAAUGGCAAAACAAACACAGCACAAAUGGAACCUCCCCGAGAAUCAACCCGGAGCCAGAGACAACCCAGAGCGUGCUGUCAUUGAGGGACCCACAAAGAUCCAUGUGGCCAGAACUGGCCAGAAAAUGGGACCGGGGUCCCUAUCCCCCAGGCCUGACUGGUACAGGUCCGUGGCUUGUUAGGAACCAGGCCACAUAGCAGAAGGUGAGUAGUUGACAAGCGGGAGCGACCUCUCCAGCCUGAGCUCCGUCCACCUCCUGUCAGAUCAGCAGCAGCGUUAGAUUCUCAUAGGAGCGUGAGCUCUAUGGUGAACUGCACAUGUGAGGAAUCUGGGUUGCACACUCCCUGUGAGAAUCUGAUGCCUGAUGAUCUGAGGUGGAACAGCUUUGUCACCAAGCCAUUUCCCCUCCCUUCACUCCCCCCUCUUCCAUGGAAACACUCUCUUCCAUGAAACUGGUCCCUGGUGUCAAAAAGGUUGGGGACAGUCUUUUUAGACUUCACAGCAACUGACUCUGAUAUGGGGAAGAGCCGAGUGGGACCAGCAGCAAAGAGGCUCCAGAGGCUCUCCAGGAAACAGCAGGAUGUCCCUAGCACUUAGGCCGUGGGGGGAAGCAGCCCCACGUGAGAUCAAGGUCGGGGGGAAGCAGCCCCACGUGAGGUCUGGGUGGGGGUAAGCAGCCCCACGUGAAAUCUGGGUGGGGGGGAAGCAGCCCCACGUGAGAUCUGGGUGGGGGGAAAGCAGCCCCACGUGAAAUCUGGGUGGGGGGAAGCAGCCCCAUGUGAGGUCUAGGUGAGGGGGGGAAGCAGCCCCACGUGAGAUCUAGGAGCAGGGGAAGCAGCCCCAUGUGAGGUUUGGGUGAGGAGGGGAAGCAGCCCCACGUGAGAUCUGGGUGGUGGUCCAUCAGCUGGGUGGGGACUGCCUCAGUACAGGGGUGAUCAGAAAUGAGAGAUGGGAGAUGCUCAUUGGAAACCUGAAUAGGUAGAUGGAAAUGCUUCAUUUCUAUUCAGAUUAUUUCUCCAAGUUUAUCUCUAUCCCAGACUUACCUUCGGAGUUUCAGACUAAUAUAUCCACUCUCUGGUAGAAACGUUUAUUUUGAUAUUCCCCAGGAAACUCAGGGAACAUGUCCACAACUCAAAUCAUUGCCCCUGAACCAUCCAUUAAAACAUUUCCUGCAACAUUUUUCCUUCACCUGGCAAAUGCUCAUCAGCUGAAACAGUCCAUUUUCUGCGUCAUUUUUCAGUGCUGCCGGCUGCCCCGAUACUGGUCAGAUGUUAUUCUGAAUGUGUCGAUGAGGGUGUUCUGGGACCGGACGGAGGUAUAAGUCGGCGAAUGGAGUCAAGCAGAUGCCCUCUCCAGUGUGGGUGGGCCUCACCCAAUCAGUCAAAGCCCAGAACAGAACAGAAAAGCCAAGAGGGACCCUUUCCUGCCGGGCUGCCUUGAGCUGGGUCAGCAGUCUUUUUCUGCCUUUGGACUCAACUGGAAACACCAGCUCUUCCUGGGUUUUGAGCCUUCCAGCUUUCAAACUAUACCAGAGCUCUCCUGGUUUUCAGGCUUUUGGACUCAGACUAGAACUUCCACCGUGGGCCCUCCUGGGACUUCAGCCUGCCAACCGCACAGAUCUUUGGACUUGUCUGCCUCCAGAGUUGUAUGAACCAAUUCCUUAUAGAAUCUCUGUGUGUUUGUGUGAUGUAUGUGUGUACGCAUACGUGUGUGUAUGGAUACAUAUACAGAGAUGCACAUCUUAUUGGUUUUGUUUCUCUGGCGAACCCUGACUAACACACCAGCUAAAGAGGAAAUAAUAUUGUCUAGGGAGAAGGAAGAGUUAAUAAAAAAGACUCAUAUAAGCUAUCAGGUAUCUCCACAUUGGAAAUAAACCACAGUGCAACCCAGGAAAUAGAAAUGAGAGAAGAAGUUGACCACAGAUCGAGUAGGCUGGAACUAUGGCAGAACUCCCCGGGGCACACGGCCACCCGGCUGGGGACGGAGACCACAUUUCCCAGCUCCCAUGCUGCCAAGAGCAGCCAUGGGCUAUGUUCAGAUCAAUGGUGUAUGAGGAAAUUGACAAGCUCCCAGGGAAUCUCCAUAAAGAUGAAGCCACCAUCCUAGACUUCUUCCUUUUCUGUUUUCUGAAGGCUGAAAACCCACUUUGAAAGUGACCCAGUUUUAACUCUGCAAACAAGAACCACACCCUAAAAGACAGUGGAGGAAGAAGAUGAGGGAACCCCAGUCGCUGGAUGGCCUGGUAGAGCAGAGACUCCAUGCCAGCCUGGACUGUCCAGCUCUGGGCCAGAUUCUGGGAGGGAGGCUAAUAUCUCUCCUGUUUAAGUCCCAAUAUUCUGAAGUGUCUUUGCUCCAGCGUUUGGCUUGUACUGAACUGAAACAGAUACGGAAACACACAAACAGCAACACAGGCAGAUGGCCGCUCCCUCAGCUACAACAGAAGUCUGCCCGCUCUGCUGUCUCCUGUUGCCCCAGAGAACGGGCCAGGAGCUGGCACGAGGAGGACUCAGCAACUAUGUGUGGAAUGAAUGGAUAGUGGAAGAAAUGCAGACUGGCACUGGAAGGACAGUGAGGACAUGGGAAGAGAGUCUGUGGUUACAUCUCUUUACAAGAACCUGCUGUACAGAGAAGGGAGUAACUAAGGAACUAGGGUCUGGGUGCCGUGCAAUGCGCAUGUGUGUACAUGGGUGACGUAGGAAAUGCUGGGGCAUAUUUCCACAAAAAUAAAAAGAAUCCAACCAGAGAGAGGAGUGCGACACAAAACAGAGUGUUGUAAAUGUCCUGAGUUGUGUAGCAGGUGAGGCACUUUGUCACAUCACCGGAAGGGAAGAAGAAGAGGAUGGGUGGCUGUACGGAAAACCUGUUGGGUCACAGGUAGGAAUUUUAGGAUGUAUCUAAGUGAUGACUCUUAAAAAAAUUCUGUCUAGUGGGAAGCAAGGUCAAUUCCUGGAGAGAAUGCUGGCCAGUGGAAGUCAGGCUGAGGUCAACGGAGAAGGUUGAAAACAGUCAUCGUGGAGAGAGUCAAGUGAGUAUAGGGCUAUGGUCAGAAUAAAGAGAACUUCUCAGAGGCUGAUGACGUUGGGCAUCAUGCGUUUUUAUAGUAUUAAUCUUCCCAGUGUGUGUCUUUCUCAGGAAUUGUCAGGGUCUAGACAGACACGAAGAACAGGAAAUGCUCGGCUUCUUCUGGGGCUGUGAUUUUCCCCGAUGAUAAAAAUUAAAAGGCUGAAGGGCAACUUCCAUUGAACAUUGCAGUAAAGUAGUUACUGACUGUUGGAGAGGGAAGAAACUGCUGACAGGAAGGCUGGUGGACGUGGUGGUGAACUCAUCAGAGGGUGGGAGGUUCAGGACAGGUACCUGCGCUGUGGCUUCUCAACCAACCUGGUGGGAGGACAGGAAAUGGAGGCAACACAAUGUGCUCAAUGACUUUGUCAAUGACAAGUGAUCAAGUUUCCAGGAUGUAGGAAGUAGAAAAGUGCCUCUUCAAAGUUUCCUUUCUUGUUAAAGAAUAAUCGUAAGUGUUAGAAAUAAUAGUUUGUUCUAAAUACUUUCUUCAAAGCCUUUUUGCUUUUUGUUAAGCCGUAUCCUAUGUAGCUGUUGGACACACUUACAGGCACGUAAUGCAUUCUGUGUUCUUGUACUUUAACCAAGAUACUUGUGCUGGAUGUGCUCACAGGCAUGUCCCAGAUCGCAGCCUCUGCCCCUUCCUUAUUUAGCCCUCCUUUUCGUUCUCCAUUGCUUUUACCUGUUUAGAAAAGUUUGAAGUUGUUAGCCAAUUAGGUUUUAGUUUAGAUUGUGAGGUCUGGCUCCAACCAACAGAGAUCUGACACAGCAGUAAGGACGACCCCAAAUGCGUAAAGGAUAAAUACAUCAGCUUUCCCUCUGUUCACUGCACUCACAUAGCAAGAUGGGUGAGGAAACUCUUUCUGCAAGGAGUAAAGAUUGCCUUGCUGAGAGAUCCUUUGUCCCAAUGAUGACUUUUCCUUGCAGCACUGAAAAUUUACAUGUAACACAGGAUGACAAAGUUUAGAAUAGAUGGCUAAUUUGGAGGAGAAAAGAAAAACAUCACUACAGAUGAGAAGGCAGCAGAAUGGAGAGAUCAGGUGGUCAGCUGUGAUUUUCAGGCGGAUGUGGAAGACACCUAGUGGGUAGCAGGCGUGGUGAUGGUGAGGAAGACUGGCGUGGAUUUCAACAACCCCACUGAGUGCCAUAGUAACACAGAUGGAGUAGGUGACUCCUAAGAGUAGAGCACAGGUGGUAUUGUCAGAUUGCAUGAGAUUUAAAGAAGGAAAUUUUUGUCCAGCUAAUAGAAAGGCUGUGGUCAGAAAGCUCCCUGAAGAGCAAGGAUGACAUCGACCAAGCACGUGGCACUCAGGUCUCGGGGCAAAAAGAGAGCAAAUUGAGAGGAUCCACUUGAGAGGAUCACAGAGGAAGUGGGUUCUCAGGUGCCAUCAGAUUCCAGUUAAGGAAAGCAGGAGGAAUCUGGAGAGAAGACUUCAAGGGAAGGGCUGACCAGAGAGGAGGGAUGGCCAGCAGGCCAGUGCUUGGGACUGGAGAGACAGGCGGUGAAUGUGUGGAAGGAGGUUGUCCCUUGAGUGGUGGCCAGGACAAAAGGGGAGCCCAGCUUGGUGGACUUCGCUCUGCUUGUCUUGCAGGAGAGUGCCAGGCCAGGGACGCUCUUCCUUGGGUUGAUAAAUGAGUCAGAUGGCUGGGACUCCAUCUUCUAUCCCUGAGUAACUAGUUGAUAAAGACACCCUAGUGUAUUUUCCUGAACAGACUGUUGAUGUUAACAAGGUCAGUCUGAUACGGCUGAUUCUUUAUCACUCCAUCAUUGUUUCUUUUGUAGACACACAUCAGCUGUCGUUUUAACCAAUUCUUGCUGAAAAUGGACUAUUACCAUUUCAGAAUGGUAAGACUAUCAAGCCUGUGCUUUUGGGAUGUGCAGAAGGUACUGAAUUCUGGCUUUUCAAACUGGAGCUUCAUUCGGCCGUCUACAGUCUUCUGACAUUUUUGCAGUCUGCAAAGUCAUAGAUUAAAAUACACAACUAAUCAGUAAGGAGACUUGCCUGAGGCCAGGGGACCGGAACCAUAGGGAGAGCAAAGGAGACGUUUCACGUUUAUAGGUUCUGCUUUCUCUUUAUGAUUUUUGCACUGUGUGUUCCCAAAACAGGAAUGCUGGGAAGCCUGGAAUAGGUUUUCUGAGUCCUGGCUCUGCCACGUGCUAGCUCUGUGACCGUGAGAAGCCCAUGAGGACCCCAGAGCUGUCAUUUCUUCAUCUUGUGAGUGGAAGUCCUGUCGAUGCUUACCUUACAGGUUGCUAUGGCUAUUCAGAUGUGAGUUGUACGUGAAACACUGCACAUGUCCAUGUUUACACGAGGCACUAAAUCAUUACUGAUAUUUUAUUGUUCAAGGUAUAAUGUAAGAUGACAUCUAUAUUAACCUUAACAUUUAAACAUGUCUUUUACCUAAAUUGGGGCUGAUGAUUUCUGAUGCUAUAGUUAGAUGCUCUUCCCUUUCACCCUGGGGUUUGCUUUUCACCUUUUCAUGUAUCCUUUUCAAGACCAUCCCUAGGAAUCUGCUGGUAUGAUUAUAUUGGGUUUGUUAGAAAGUAACGUCUCCAUUUUCCUUUUCAUUAGGACUGCAUAAAGUAGCAUCGUCUGAAGUGUGUGCUAAGAACGUCCCUAACCCCUUGUGUGAUAUUUCUCCUUCUGAGCCUUGUGCUUGGUGAUUCCUGCUUUAUAAAACCCAUUUCCCUGAAAGCCUGGCACACGUUGAACUCCACGUCCCCCUCUCCCUUGACGUGAUUGUUUCCUUCAACUCUUCGUCUGCUUCCUCCUGGCAAUACACCUCUCCAAUUUCCUUUCUUAGGGGCUUCCACUCCAGGGUUCAAGGGUUUUCCUGCAACUGCACGCCUUCUUUUAGAGAAGGGGGCAGGUGUGCACACAGCAUAAUUGGUUCCAAUUCUCCAAUAUAUCUGUCCCUUUUGAAUUGAGCUAAAUCAGUCAUUUUUUUAGCCAUAAUGUUCAUCUACCGACAAUACAGGUAAAGUCGUGUUUAUCACCUGUUAUAAUUUUAUCACCUGCAGAAUGCUCAUUCAUAUAUGGAUGCCCAUGGCUACACGUAUUGAUUAAAACUCCCUUCCCAAUUAUGUCACUAUGGGAACAGCUAGACACAUUUCAAAUGUUAAUUACCUUUUGUUACACCUGAGUCACAUUAGCGAUAACCUUCUGCAUGGGAGGGGUACUCGCUUUGUUUGGAUUGGAAUUCUGUCUCGUACACAGGGUUCCAUUAACAUUAGCUGAGACUAUUUCUUAAUUCAAAGAAUAUUCAUAUUCUCUUCAUUAUCAAGCCUAGAACGUGAUUUUUCUCAGGUUGCCACAUUAAUCGGAGAGAGACGCCGGGUAGUUUAUAAUCAAAACUAAGGCAGCUCAACAGCAGGUUACAUCUAAGAGGCUGACACAGGAGAGAUGUCUUUUCUUUCUUAGUCUGUGUCAUUAAAAAGAUCUUUUUUUCUUUUGAAGUCUUCCUCUUGGUUGCUCCACAUUUCUUCACAGAAAGAAUAUGAAGGAAAUGAAGUGAUACAUGGCAUGUGAAAUCAAAGCAGCAGGAUUUUGUUUAGAAGAAUGCACAGCUGCAUUGACUGCAAUUACAGUUCAGAAAAGCUGCAGCUGCCAAUUUCUUUUCUGCAAUUCAAUUCACCUUAUAUGUACCUUUCUACUUUAAGGGAUUUUUUUUCCACUCAAGGAAAAAACAAAAGGAGAAUGGAAGAAAUUAUAGAGCUAUGGAAUGGGACUUACAAAGAAACAGAAUAGUGUGCCUGCUUUUCUCAGGUAGCAUAUUUUAUGGACAAUUUCAAUUCUUCCAGCUGCUGUCUUCAGAAGAGCUUAAAUAUAAUUCUGGAUAUUAUUUCAUUUUACAAGAAGAUAUUGGCUCACCCUUCUCAGAGAGCUGAGGAGCUGGAACUUGACUUUGUAUAACCGAGGUAAGAGUUACAUCUGGAAAAGAACAAUUCUCCCCCUGAAUUAGGACAAGCUCAACUAUAUCCUAAAUCACAGUGAUUUUAAGUACUACUCAUGCUUGUAAGAGAUUUUAAAAUAGAACAGCAAUCUGUGAGGUGUUCACAGCGUACAGUACGUAGCCAAGGUGAUCCAAGGUCAGUGUCUGCUCCUAGAUGCACCUGCAGGGAGUUAGCAGUCGCCACCCACACGCCUGGCCCAACAAGAGCUGACCAGGCAUGGGCAUGCUACUGACGAAAUGCAGCUGGUUUGCUGCAGGGCAUCUGUUUUCUAAAACACAUUUGUCACUGACAGACCUAGCGACUGAGUAGGUGUGAAUAUGAUAUGAAAGUUGCAUUGGCCAUAAGCCAAUUUAUCUGAUGCUCUAACGUUUUAAGUCUCCAUGUAAUAGCAGGUUUGUGCUGUAACAUAAAGAACUGUGGCACAGGUGGGCACAGCAAGACACCGAGAACACACUUGCAUGUCCACUGGCCCCAUGUGUCUUCUGCUGGUCCUGUCUGGCAGUGUGUUUGGCUUUGAAAGUGUCCAGGAUCUGGAUCUUCAUGCAAAAGAAACAAGCACAGGAUGGUGACCUGGCAUCACUGCGUUUUUGCAAAGCCUGCAACUGCCCCAUGUCUGCUCUGGGCUCCGAGGCUCAGUCCUCUGAUCUUUCUUUACCUGUCCUGUCCCUAGCUGCCUUCCUCUUUUUCCUUAUUAAAGUUCUGUACGUACUGCAGCAUAUUCCAUUUAUUGGGAAUUGAAUGUAUUUCUUCUAUGCCAGGAUUCAAAGUUGGGAUUGUUAUUAUUGUAGUUUGUGCUCUGGUUACAGAGUUUCUAAGGUUUGGCUGUUCUGUCCCAGCACCGUAUUUUCUCCAGCCUUGCUGUCUGCAGUGGGCAAUUUUGGACAAUGCAAUUUUCUCAGGCACUUUCUUCUGAGCUCCAGGUCUCCGCAUCCAACAUCCACUCAACAUUUUAUUGUGAGAUCUUCACCUCAAACAUGUCAGAAUUGACAUAUCAACACGUCAAUACCUCCUGCAGGAUUUCCUAACUCCACAGAUGGUAUCCGUCUAAUUGUGCAAGCCAAGAGCAAGGCGCCAGCUGGGAUGUUUCCUGUACCCAAUCUAUCAUCUAUGUCCAGUUAAUUUUACAGUAGUGUUUCUCUACUGUGUCCAUUUCUCUUUGUCUCUGCUGCCACCUUCAUCUCAUACCUGGAUCACUGCAGCAGCCUCCUCCCUGGCCACAGUAGCCUAUGAAACACUAAUCUGAGCAGCUCACCACCUUCUGCACAAACCCUUAGGAAACUAGAAGAAAGCUCCCUCGACCUGGUAAAGGCUAUAUUACAAAACAUCCAGUAAACAACACACUCAAUGGAGAAACCUUGAAACCAGGAGCAAAGAUGCCCAUUGAUAUCACAGCUGCUUAGCGUGGUACUAAAUGUUCUUACAGACAAAAAAGAAGAAGGAAAGAGUCAGAAAACAAAAGGAAUUAGUGUAUAAGAUUUGGAAGGAAGAUAAAAAAGUCCUUAUUGGCGGAUGGGCAGAUGACACAAUCCUAUACAGAGAUACUCCAACCGAAGAGACACUAUUCAAGCUAAUGAGAGUUCAGUGAUGUUGCUAGAUUUAAAGUCAGCUCAUUCUCUUUACCUACCGAAGCAGACUGAAUGUUGUGUCCCCCCAGUUCUUAUGUUGAAAUCUAAUCCCAAGUGUGAUGGUAUUUGGAGGGGGUUCUCGGAGGUGAUUAGGUCAUGAGAGCAAAGCCCUCAUGAAUGGGAUUAUGAAAGAGACCCCAGAGAGACCCCUCACCCCUCCUACAACGUGAGGACUUGGCAAGAAGACACCUUCUAUGAACCAGAGAGCCAGUGUUCACCAGACAUUGGAUCUGAACGCCCCUUGCUCUUGCAUUUGCAGGCUCCUGAACUGUGAAAACACAUGUCUGUUGUUUAGAAGCCACUCUGCUUAUGGCUUUCAUUACAGCAUCCCAAAUGGACUAACACACCUGCAAUAACCAAUUCCAAUUUUCAUAAAACUGACAUGGUGAAAUUUUGUCAAAUACCUCUCUGUACGAAUUGGGGGACUACAUGGCUCACGUUAUCAACAAGAGAAAAUAGGCAGCCCAAACCCAAGAAACAGUCAAGUAAUAGAAACAGUUCAGAGCGAGAGAAAAUUAAAUGACUGGCAAGUAUGUGAAGAGUUCCUCAACUCAGUAAAUGUAACGAGAAGAAAUAGAAUGAGGAGAUGCCACUUCCAACCAUCAUAUUUAUAAAAUGUAAAAGGCACCAUAGAACCAAGAGUUGAUGAGCGUGGGAAGAUACGGGGCCUCCUACCGUGACUGCAUGGAGAACACUCGUCAUGAAGGUGAAGGAUGAGUAUCAUCGGUGGUCUUUCCAUCCCAUACUGCACAGCGUGGAGACCCCAGACCCCCACCCCCGACGACUGGAUGAGCACCCAGGUAAGGGGACAGCUACUUAGGCCGGCUUUAUGCACAGUACCCAGGGGGAAGUACAGCCCCAUGCCUACUGUUUGUGCAAUUGAAAUAUCACCCGGUUACUGAGUGUCUUAAAGGAUACAUUCACAUCUAAGAACACAGAGGGUGGGAGCAGGAGGAAAAGUCAAACAGCGUUAAACCGGAAGAGUCUGGUUUUGAGCAGUCGCGCUGGGGUUCCUUGAAUACUAGUAACAAAACUCUGCACAGGAAGCUUUUGAAAAAGGUUAAAAGAGUAAAGGGUGAUCUUCAGAUUUAUUGGUGGAAGAGUGACAGCCACUGAAAUGGGAAAGUUCAAUUUCGGAGUGAAUAUUACUCAGAACAGACCAAAGUCCAACAUCCCUAUAACUGGUGCUCAGGAAGAAGAAAGCUUGAGAGUCAAGGCUGAUCAGAGAAGAGAGUGCACUUGGAUUUGACACAGAAAAAGCCCAACUCUCAAAACGCUGAGCCACACCAAAGAGACUGCUUUACCUGGAUGUUGGGAAGAUUUAGGAUGUUAAAAAUAAGUUCAGUAUAAAUAAAAACUCUUUCUCCCCUGCAGCUUGCAUUCCUCCUGCCUUGGGAGGCUGGCAAAAGCUAAGACUGUAGAAGACAUUCUGAGGCCCUGAGGAGGUACGUACGUGCCUGCUGAGCGUUCCUGUCACCAGUCAGUGCACUCUGCUAAACAAGCCUUCACCAGCAGGUCUUUUCUUUCUUUCUUUUUUUUUUUUUGAGAUGGAGUUUCACUCUUGUUACCCAGGCUGGGGUGCAAUGGCACAAUCUCGGCUCACCGCAACCUCCGCCUCCUGGGUUCAGGCAAUUCUCCUGCCUCAGCCUCCCGAGUAGCUGGGAUUACAGGCAUGCGCCACCAUGCCCAGCUAAUUUUUUGUAUUUUUAGUAGAGACGGGGUUUCACCAUGUUGACCAGGAUGGUCUCGAUCUCUUGACCUCGUGAUCCACCUGCCUUGGGCUCCCAAAGCGCUGGGAUUACAGGCGUGAGCCACCGCGCCCGGCCCACCAGCAGGCCUUUCUUUACUAGCACUAUUUACGGUUACAGUAAGUCACUUCCUCCGAAGUUUUAUCACAAUGGCUUCCUUCUCAUACAACUGAACUUGCUCGCUUUCAAGUGUAAUUAUGUUUUUGAAAUACAUACUUCCGAAGUGAAGUCUCUGCCAUUAAUUUUCAUGGGCAAUACAUGAUAAAGUACAUGCAUGGUACCACAAAUUGCAAUUUAUUAAGUUCUGUGGAGUAAGUGGAGCCAGUCACAUAGACAGCUGGAGAAAUGAGAAACAGAGCUGACAUGGAGUGACAUUCAAAGUAGAGAAACAAGGAAGAGGCGUGAGCCAGAGGCGGUGAGCCUGCAGUGGGGUUCCAUACACAUUCCCCCCAGCCAGGUACCAUCGACUUGUUUCAGCAUGCCCCUUAUCUGGGCUAUGCCCCAAAGUUCAUCUCACCCCUGCUUCCCUCACCAGUUGUCCUAAAGAUGUAACAAGAUUACGAAUGUUGGUGCUCAUUAAGCUGGACACAUGUGGCAAAUCAUUACUUUUAUUAACAGAGGAAUAAGAACAGUCCCAGAAGACAGAAAUAAAGACACAACAUAUCCUUAAAAAUAAACAUAGGGGCUGGGUGAGGUGGCCCACACCUGCCAUCCCCACACUUGGGGCAGCCGGGGCAGGAGGACUGCUGAUGCUCAGACACUGGAGGCCAACCUGUGCCACAUAGUGAGACCACAUAAAAAAAUAAACAUGACCGAAAAGAAAAACUAUCUGAUGGCUUCAUUUUAUCAGAACCUCAAAUCACAGUUAUUCUUCACAUCAUCUUUUUUCUUCAUGAAAGUCGGAAUCUCAAAGGAAAUUGGUCAAGAUCCUGAUGUGCAGGUGGGUUAAGAGGAUCAGUAAAUGUGAAAUAACAAAAUACAAAGAAGAAAAGGACAACACUGAGUCCCGGCACAUUUCUCAGUUGCUCCUAUUUCUUCUUUCUGGCCCAGACAUCUCCUGGGUUUACAGGUGCAUAAAGGUCCCUUCUCGUCACCAGGACAGCUUAACUACCAUCAACAAGUAUUUUUCAAAUAAACACUUCAGUUUCUGCGUCUGAAGUGUUUGUUUGACUCCUCGCAACUGAGAACAGAUUAGGGGUUGACAAGGUCCUAUUGUGGGCAGAACAACUGUGACUUUCUAGAUGGAAGAACGUCUUUAAAACUUUUAAUUGAAAGUUUUAAAAAUGCAGAAAAAAAGAGGGUUUCAGUUUUCACGUAUGCCAUAUUCUAGUAUCGAACCGGAAUCUUCACUCCAAAAUACUGUUCAAAAUCCUGAUGGAGUAAGAAUUAAGUUCAUGCAGCUUAAGUUGAAUCCUGUGUACUUCUCCAAUGAUCACACGAUGUCUUUUUUCCCUGUCCUUACCAAUCUCAAGGUUUACCAUUGUAAAUAUAUGUGUAUGUCAAUUAGGAAAGAUACAGUGAAAUCCCUUAACAUCUGAAAGGUUCCAUUCAAUUUUGCUCUUCCUGUUAAAACUUAUUUAAAAUCUGAAGUAUUCAAAGUAACACUGGAGUCGUAAACUCUACGGCCUGCGGUGGCACUUAACCCGUCACAUCUGACAGAGCAUCCUCAGACACUGCUCUCAGCACCCAAGUCCUCCUAGCACAACGGGCUUUGUUCUGUACUCUUCAGUAUAUUUUUUGUAAAAUAAUAUGUACAUAUGCAUGCAUAAGUGUGUGUGUGUGUGUAUGUGUGUGAGUGUGUGUGUGUGGUUUGUGGGUGUGUAUGGUAUGUGUCAUAUGAGUGUAUGUGUGUGGUGUGUGUGUGUGUUUGUAUGGUGUGUCUGUGUCAUCAAAUACUGUAUCUUUUGAUUACAUCCUGGAGGUGCAUGUGUUAUGCAUCCUUCUUCUCUUCUAGGAAUAUGGAGUAGGCAUGUAUUUCCCUAUUCCUCCCACUAAGUACAACUGAAAACCCUGGACACUUCACAGAGGAUGACUGUGACAGACAGAGAGAAGGAGGCAGGAUGGCUAAGGACCUCAGGACUUGAGGAACGACAUGGUGGAGAAUUUUCUGGGUUUUCCUCUUCCUCAUGCGUACUAGACCUGGAACCGAAGAAAUCAGCAACCCAGAAAUUCCAGCAGGCACAGACAAAAUAAGUCCCAACAAAAGCCUGCUUUCUCUAGCCACAGGACCAGGGAAGGGACAGAAAACUCUUAGACGAUAACUGCUCUACUUCGGCCAAACAAUGCAGAAAAACCUCGGCCCCACCUUCGCCCAUGCCAGUAAAGGCUGUGUGGGUGGCCUAGAAUUCCACCCUCAUUAGUCUGUAAGGAGGUGCCCCAACUUCCCCACAGGGGUGCUGUCCACUUCCAAGUGGACAGUGCGGACUCUGACCACUGCCCAGGGUAACUGGCCAUAGUUCUGCUUGGGAUUAGUGGAGGCCACACGGCGAGUGGGAGCCUCCACCCCCAGCAAGCAGGAAGAGCCUCACAACUUUCUUCAUUGCAGUAAUAGGGGGCCCCCCACUUCCUAGGUUGGAGUCAUGUGAGUCCCAGUCUGUUAAAACAGAAAGCUUACGUAAGGUCCAGAGUCUCAUAACAUAGUGCCCCAAAAGUCUAACUUUCAAUUAAAAAAAAAUCACUAGUUGCUCAAAGAACCCGGAAGAUCUCAAACAGAAAAGAAAAAAUAAACCAAACCAAGAUGACAGAAAUGUUAGAUUUAUCUGACAAAGAUUUCAAAGCAGCCAUGAUAAAAAUGCUUCAACAAGCAACCACAGACCAGCCUGAAACCAAUGAAGAAACAGAGCCUCUGCUGAAAAAUGGGACAUAUACAGAAGAACCAAAUGGAAGUUUUAAAAGUGAAAAACACAAAACCAAAAUGAAAAGUUCACAGGCAGGCCUUAAUAGCUGAGUAGAGGAAACAGGAAGGCAAGCAUGAAAUGCAGGAUGCAACAACAGACACGCUCACCUCAAAACCCAGAGGAAGAAGAGCCACAUAAACCCAAAGCAAGUGGAAGAAAGGACAUAAAUAAAUAAAAGGAAAUGGAGAGGGAGGGAGAGAGAGAGAGAGAGAGAGAGAGAGGGAGCAGAAAUCCAUAAAACUGAAAACAGAAACAAUGGAAAACACCCAUGAAACAGUGAGCUGAUUUAAAAAGAUAAGACUAAUAAAAUUGACAAAUCUCUGGCAAGACUGACUGAAAGAGAGAGAGAAGGGAGACACAAGUUCAUAAAUUACCAGUAUCAGGAAUGAAACAGAGAAUCACUACAGAUCCCACAGACUUUGCAAGGAUAAUAAGGGCGCUAUGAAUGCCUCUACACACAGAUUCAACAGAUCGGAUGAAAUGGACAUAGGGAUGCAUACCCUGCAGGUGGAGCCUGCCCAGGAGUAGCUGGACCUGGGUAAGAGGUACACACAGCUUUCAGAAAGAGGCUCAGGGUCACUGGGGGAGGAAAUUCUGGCAUCCCAGGUGUCUGGAGAAUGUUCUUGGAGGGAUGGGUGCAAACUGUGGACAGGCACAUCACCUGAUUUUCACAGACUCUCAUCCUGUGGUGAGGGCAAGGCCAGGGAAGGCAGAAGGAGCUCUUAAAUGCUCAGGGUCAGGGUAGGACCCCUCUGGUCCAGCUCUAAACACUGUGCUGAGUACAGAUGGUGUUUUUCUUGCCAUUGCCAAUGAGGUAACACUCACCAAUACAGAGGAUGACUAAAGAUCUGGAGCCAAGAGUCAACAGCCUUCAGGAAGGCUUAGCAGGCUUUGCAGCUAUUCCUUUCACUAUCUAACAAGUAUUUGUGAGGGUUCUUGCUAUAUAACUCAGCAUCUGAGCCAUGCAUGCAGUGUGGGGUUAGAAAGAGACACACGGACGGGCUGUGGCAGCCCAGGGAGAGUGACAUGCACGUGCAGAAUGGGUGUCCCACUGAGACCCACAGGUGGGCUGUGUCCCUCAAUGUCUGGAACACACCCUGAGCUCACAGAGUUCUGCCUUCCCAGUGCCCGUUCUAGAUGCUGCCACACAGCACCCGAGAAGCUGCUGAAAUGCAGGAUCUACCGGAGCUUCCGCUUCCUUAGCGCUACCUGCUCAACACUGCCCGUGCCUCGCGCCUCGCUCCUCUCUGCCUUGAACGGGAGCAUGGGGAGAGCACUCCACGAGAAAACUCUGGGUUCCUGACAGCUUCGCUAGAAAUGAAGCCAAAAAGUGCAGGCGCAGAGCGGAGGAAGCCCAGCUCUAAGGGUGACUCACGGCCACUCGGAUCGCUGUGUAUCAGAAGACAGACGCCAGAUCCACAGCUGGGCUUUCACACCUGAGGAGGUGGGAGGGGGUUUGUUUUAAUAAAGUCGCGCUUGAUUAAAUAAAAUGAGUGAAAAGUAAAUUAAGGAAUUUAAAGAAUUGUG